CAAAACCAAAAACUCCUUUCAAGACCAGGCCACAAGAAAUCCAGGCUCAGAAAUAAAGGUUUUAUCAGCACAGCAGCUAUGAGUGCUGCUGGCAGUCAGCUCUCAGUUGUCAGCCCUCAUUAGACAUUACUCCCUUGACGUUGUGUGAUUGCUUCAGUUCCAGAUCAUCUCCAAAGGUCAUAACCUCAUCGUUGAUUGGUUCACAUCCAGUGACUGCUCAACACAGCUUGACUUCUUCCUGUGACUCAAUUCCCUUCUUUCCUCAUCCAAGGCUGUUGACCCCAAGAGAAUUUGUUAAUAAAUCUCCUGCUUUCUACUUUCUGCCCCAGAGUCUACUUCUGAAGGAAACCAACCCA